rnacentral:rRNA from 1 species
GACGAACGCUGGCGGCGUGCCUAAUACAUGCAAGUCGAACGAGUGGCGGACGGGUGAGUAACACGUGGGAACCUACCCAUCAGAGGGGGAUAACACUUGGAAACAGUUGCUAAUACCGCAUAAUGCUGGAUUGCCCCGCGGUUCAUUAGCUAGUUGGUGAGGUAACUGCUCACCAAGGCCACGAUGCAUAGAGGACCUGAGAGAAUGAGCAGCCACACUGGAACUGAGAAACGGUCCAGACUCCUACGGGAGGCAGCAGGGGGGAAUAUUGGACAAUGGGCGCAAGCCUGAUGCAGCCAUGCCGCGUGUGUGAAGAAGGCCUUCGGGUUGUAAAGCACUUUCAGCGGGGAGGCGUUACCCGCAGAAGAAGCACCGGCUAACUCCGUGCCAGCAGCCGCGGUAAUUC